AAUAACUAUAGGAGGUCCAGCCUGCCCAGUGACAAAGUUAAACGGCCGCGGUACCCUAACCGUGCGAAGGUAGCGCAAUCACUUGUUCUUUAAAUGAGGACUAGUAUGAAUGGCAUCACGAGGGUUAUACUGUCUCCCUCUUUCAAUCAGUGAAACUGAUCUUCCCGUGAAGAAGCGGGAAUACAUCUAUAAGACGAGAAGACCCCAUGGAGCUUAAAACUCAGUAUCAACUACUAUACUAAUUUAUCCUCUUAAUUAAGCAGAUCUGACUACUAGUUUUCGGUUGGGGUGACCGCGGAGCAAAACAAAACCUCCACGAUGAAAGGAACUAACCUCCUAAUCAAAGAGCUACCUCUCUAAGAAUCAACAAAUUGACAUUUAUUGAUCCAACUUUUUUGAUCAACGAACCAAGUUACCCUGGGGAUAACAGCGCAAUCCAUUUCAAGAGCCCCUAUCGACAAAUGGGUUUACGACCUCGAUGUUGGAUCAGGGUAUCCCAGUGGUGCAGCCGCUACUAAAGGUUCGUUUGUUCAACGAUUAAAACCCUACGUGAUCUGAGUUCAGACCGGAGUAAUCCAGGUCGGUUUCUAUCUAUAAAGAGUUCCCCCUAGUACGAAAGGACCGGGGUAACAUGGCCUAUAUCUUAACAAGCCAUAGCUGCUAACUAAUGACCUCAACUCAAUUAGUGUUAGCCUACCAAUUAUCUCAAGAUAAGAAAU
rnacentral:rRNA from 1 species